rnacentral:rRNA from 1 species
GUAAUGCAGUCCGGAAGUCGCCUGAAGGUGGGGAUUAACGUAGACGAAAGUUACGCUAAUACCGCAUAUUCUGUGAGCAGGAAAGCAGGGGAUCUUCGGACCUUGCGCUUUUGGAGCGGCCGAUGUCGGAUUAGCUAGUUGGUGGGGUAAAGGCCCACCAAGGCGACGAUCCGUAGCGGGUCUGAGAGGAUGAUCCGCCACACUGGAACUGAGACACGGUCCAGACUCCUACGGGAGGCAGCAGUGGGGAAUUUUGGACAAUGGGCGCAAGCCUGAUCCAGCCAUGCCGCGUGAGUGAAGAAGGCCUUCGGGUUGUAAAGCUCUUUCGGUGGGGAAGAAAUUGCUUGGGUUAAUACCCUGAGUAGAUGACGGUACCCGCAUAAGAAGCACCGGCUAACUACGUG